rnacentral:rRNA from 1 species
UAAUACGUAGGGUGCGAGCGUUGUCCGGAAUUACUGGGCGUAAAGAGCUCGUAGGUGGUUUGUCGCGUUGUUCGUGAAAUCUCACGGCUUAACUGUGAGCGUGCGGGCGAUACGGGCAGACUAGAGUACUGCAGGGGAGACUGGAAUUCCUGGUGUAGCGGUGGAAUGCGCAGAUAUCAGGAGGAACACCGGUGGCGAAGGCGGGUCUCUGGGCAGUAACUGACGCUGAGGAGCGAAAGCGUGGGGAGCGAACAGG